UCCGGUUUAUCACCGGCGGUCCCAGCAGAGUCCUCAGCUUUACCUGUUAGCAACAGCUGGCAAGGGUUGCGCUCGUUGCGGGACUUAACCCAACAUCUCACGGCACGAGCUGAUGACAGCCAUGCAGCACCUGUGCAGGGCCCCGAAGGACACGGGCUUUCACCCGCUUUACCCUGCAUGUCAAGCCCAGGUAAGGUUCUUCGCGUUGCAUCGAAUUAAGCCACAUGCUCCGCCGCUUGUGCGGGUCCCCGUCAAUUCCUUUGAGUUUUAGCCUUGCGGCCGUACUCCCCAGGCGGGGUGCUUAAUGCGUUAGCUGCGGCACCCAGGGGGUCAAUACCCCGGACACCUAGUGCCCAUCGUUUACAGCGUGGACUAC
rnacentral:misc_RNA from 1 species